AUUUGGGACACUAGGUCACAAGUUGGUCUCUUCCUUUGUCAGCAGUCCAUUCAACAUGGCAAUGCCCACACCCACCUCACAAGGCAUGGAUGACACAAAGAGAUGGCUUGCCUGCAAGAGACCCAGCUGGUCUGGAGUUGGAGGCACACUUCAUUUCUCUGCCCAGCUCGGCAGGCGGCUGGAGCAAACCAGGAGAUCGCCUCAAAUGUUUUAAAUGUCAAUAUGGUCCCUUCUUGCUGGCUUGCCAAGAUUUGACCAGCUAAAUUGGCCUGUGUGGUGUGUUCCCUGCAGUGCACGAUGGAGUUUCAAUCUGUCACCCAGGCUAGAGCACAGUGGCACAAUCUUG
rnacentral:lncRNA from 1 species